rnacentral:rRNA from 1 species
UACGUAGGGUGCGAGCGUUAAUCGGAAUUACUGGGCGUAAAGCGUGCGCAGGCGGUUAUGCAAGACAGAUGUGAAAUCCCCGGGCUCAACCUGGGAACUGCAUUUGUGACUGCAUGGCUGGAGUGCGGCAGAGGGGGAUGGAAUUCCGCGUGUAGCAGUGAAAUGCGUAGAUAUGCGGAGGAACACCGAUGGCGAAGGCAGCCCCCUGGGUCAAGAUUGACGCUCAUGCACGAAAGCGUGGGGAGCAAACAGG